UUCCAAAGUGUUGAGUUCAGUUCAGGGCAGCUUCCCUCCCUGUUCUGUUAAACUUUGGGACACUGAAACAGGCUAGGGGAAAUGAUUGGAUAGAAAAUAUUAUUCUGUCCAUUUGUCUCUCAGCCUACAAAA
ensembl:snoRNA